rnacentral:rRNA from 1 species
AGUGAACGCUGGCGGUAGGCCUAACACAUGCAAGUCGAACGGCAGCACCGUAAGAGCUUGCUCUUACGGGUGGCGAGUGGCGGACGGGUGAGGAAUACAUCGGAAUCUACUUUUUCGUGGGGGCUAACGUAGGGAAACUUAAGCUAAUACCGCAUACGACCUACGGGUGAAAGCAGGAGAGCUUCGGCCCUUGCGCGUUUGCUUGAGCCGAUGUCGGAUUAGCUAGUUGGCGGGGUAAAGGCCCACCAAGGCGGCGAUCCGUAGCUGGUCUGAGAGGAUGAACAGCCACACUGGAGGUGAGACACGGUCCAGACUCCUACGGGAGGCAGCAGUGGGGAAUGUUGGACGAUGGGGGCAAGCCUGAUCCAGCCAUACCGCGUGGGUGAAGAAGGCCUUCGGGUUGGAAAGCCCUUUUGUUGGGAAAGAAAAGCAGCAGGUUAAUACCACGCUGUUGUGACGGUACCCAAAGAAUAAGCACCGGCUAACUUCGUG